rnacentral:rRNA from 1 species
AGCAGCCGCGGUAAUUCCAGCUCCAAUAGCGUAUAUUAAAGUUGUUGCAGUUAAAAAGCUCGUGGUUGAACUUCAGGCCUGGCUGGGCGGUCCGCCUCACGGCGCGUACUGUCUGGCUGGGUCUUACCUCUUGGUGAGCCGGCGUGGCCUUUAUUGGUUGCGUCGGGGAACCAGGACUUUUACCUUGAGAAAAUUAGAGUGUUCAAAGCAGGCCUACGCCUGAAUACAUUAGCAUGGAAUAAUAAAUAGGACGUGCGGUUCUAUUUUGUUGGUUUCUAGAGUCGCCGUAAUGAUUAAUAGGGAUAGUUGGGGGCAUUGGUAUUGAGUCGCUAGAGGUGAAAUUCUUGGAUUGAC